rnacentral:lncRNA from 1 species
AAUCAUUAUUGUGCCGUACCUGGGGCAACGAUCCAGCAAAAAGUUUGAAAAAAUCUUUUCAGAUCAUCUCAAUUUGAAAAGACUCUAGCAUCGACGCGCCAAACGCCAAAAUAUCUGAAAACAAUCGAGUACAGAAAUCAAGGGGGCAACUUUGGCUAUGAAAAUUUUUUUGUACUUCCUUCAUUCGAAACCCGAACUUGAAAGUAGGGGGACUAGUGUUGAGUAUAAAAUAACCCCAGCUG